GAAUAAUACCGCCACGCUCUUCGGCAGCAGCAAGACGUGCUUGAGGAGCAAACAAACUUACGUUACCGGUGACACGGUCGUCAAAGCGAACACCAAGAGCAAGGAUAAGAUCGGCUUCCUGCAUGGCCAUAUUAGCGUAUCCACUACCAUGCAUACCGAGCAUAUGCAAACUAAGGUCAGAACGUUCAUCUACAGCACCAAGUCCAAGCAAAGAAGUAGUAACAGGAAUUUGCAGCCUUUCGCUAAACUUGCGUAACAAAGUGGGGCAUUCGGGAUUAGCUAAAACACCAUGCCCACAGAAAAUCACAGGCUUCUUGGCUAAUUUUAGUAAAUUGGCAACACGAUCGAUCUUGGCAGUAACGUUCUUGGAGCCCUCUUCUAAGACUUCCUUCAUUCUGCGAUUCAUUGAUGGUACAGAAGACAGUAUAGGAAUGGGCUCCUUCAAAACGCUAGCAGUGACAUCUUUGGGAAGGUCAACCAAUACAGGGCCAGGGCGUCCAGAAGUAGCUAUCUCAAAAGCUUCGUCUAUACGACGGGGAAGAUCAGCAACAUCUUUGACCAUUACAUUCCAUUUAGUACAUGAACGAGAAAUACCAACCAUGUCAGCUUCUUGAAAUGCAUCACUACCAAUUGCGCUGGUUGCUACUUGACCAGAGAAUACAACUAGGGGAGUACCGUCGGCCAAUGCAUCAGCAAUCGGGGUAAUCACAUUCGUAGCACCGGGUCCAGAAGUAACCAAUACAACGCCGGGUUUUUUAGUAACGCGGGAAUAAGCUUGGGCUGCAUGUCCAGCAGCUUGCUCGUGUCUUGGCAAGAUAAAUUCAAAAUGAGGAGAUCUAUAAAUUGCAUCGAAGACAGGCAAGAUAGCACCACCUGGAUAACCAAAUACAUGCUUAACAUUAUGCUUGAGCAUCAUAUCAUGGAAAAUUUCACCCCCAGUCUUUCCAACAAACGAGCUGUCAUAUUUUAUAGGACUAGCCGUAGUCACUGUAGAGGUGCUUUUGGUCGAAUUUGCCCGAACGACACCGAAU